rnacentral:rRNA from 1 species
CACCGCGGUUAUACGAGAGACCCAAGUUGAUACUUACCGGCGUAAAGAGUGGUUACGGGACUUAAUAAACUAGAGCCAAACGCCUUCUAGGCUGUUAUACGCACCUGAAGACACGAAGCCCCCCUACGAAAGUAGCUUUACCCCCCCCCCUGAAUCCACGACAACUAUGUCA